rnacentral:rRNA from 1 species
AAUUUUGGACAAUGGGGGAAACCCUGAUCCAGCCAUCCCGCGUGUAUGAUGAAGGCCUUCGGGUUGUAAAGUACUUUUGGCAGAGAAGAAAAGGUAUCCCCUAAUACGGGAUACUGCUGACGGUAUCUGCAGAAUAAGCACCGGCUAACUACUUGCCAGCAGCCGCGGUAAUACGUAGGGUGCGAGCGUUAAUCGGAAUUAUGUGCCGUAAACCGUGUGUAGGCGUUUCGGAAAGAAAGAUGUGAAAUCCAAGGGCUCACCAUUGGAACUCCUUUUUUAACUGCCGAGCUAGAGUAGGUCAGAGGGGGGUAGAAUUCACGUGUAGCAGUGAAAUGCGUAGAUAUGUGGAGGAAUACCGAUGGCGAAGGCAGCCCCCUGGGAUAAUACUGACGCUCAGACACGAAAGCGUGGGGAGCAAACAGG